UCAGGCCUAACACAUGCAAGUCGAGCGGCAGCGGGAAAGUAGCUUGCUACUUUUGCCGGCGAGCGGCGGACGGGUGAGUAAUGCCUGGGAAAUUGCCCAGUCGAGGGGGAUAACAGUUGGAAACGACUGCUAAUACCGCAUACGCCCUACGGGGGAAAGCAGGGGACCUUCGGGCCUUGCGCGAUUGGAUAUGCCCAGGUGGGAUUAGCUAGUUGGUGAGGUAAUGGCUCACCAAGGCGACGAUCCCUAGCUGGUCUGAGAGGAUGAUCAGCCACACUGGAACUGAGACACGGUCCAGACUCCUACGGGAGGCAGCAGUGGGGAAUAUUGCACAAUGGGGGAAACCCUGAUGCAGCCAGGCCGCGUGUGUGAAGAAGGCCUUCGGGU
rnacentral:rRNA from 1 species